rnacentral:rRNA from 1 species
AUUGAACGCUGGCGGCAGGCCUAACACAUGCAAGUCGAGCGGAUGACGGGAGCUUGCUCCUGGAUUCAGCGGCGGACGGGUGAGUAAUGCCUAGGAAUCUGCCUGGUAGUGGGGGACAACGUUUCGAAAGGAACGCUAAUACCGCAUACGUCCUACGGGAGAAAGCAGGGGACCUUCGGGCCUUGCGCUAAUAGAUGAGCCUAGGUCGGAUUAGCUUGUUGGUGAGGUAAUGGCUCACCAAGGCGACGAUCCGUAACUGGUCUGAGAGGAUGAUCAGUCCAACUGGAACUGAGACACGGUCCAGACUCCUACGGGAGGCAGCAGUGGGGAAUAUUGGACAAUGGGCGAAAGCCUGAUCCAGCCAUGCCGCGUGUGUGAAGAAGGUCUUCGGAUUGUAAAGCACUUUAAGUUGGGAGGAAGGGUUGUAGAUUAAUACUCUGCAAUUUUGACGUUACCGACAGAAUAAGCACCGGCUAACUCUGUGCCAGCCGCCGCCGUAAAAC